UACGCCGGGGCCUAGCUUUUUUCGGAAUCACUGGGCGUAAAGCGCACGUAGGCGGAUUUGUAAGUCAGGGGUGAAAUCCCGGGGCUCAACCUCGGAACUGCCUUUGAUACUGCGAAUCUUGAGUCCGAUAGAGGUGGGUGGAAUUCCUAGUGUAGAGGUGAAAUUCGUAGAUAUUAGGAAGAACACCAGUGGCGAAGGCGGCCCACUGGAUCGGUACUGACGCUGAGGUGCGAAAGCGUGGGGAGCAAACAGG
rnacentral:rRNA from 1 species